GCUGGAAGGGAUAUUUCUUUCCUGUAUGAUGUUAAAUACGUGAAAGGAGAGGCCGUGGAGAAAAAACUUUGUCCCCCAAACAAGUCAACACAGUCACAAAGCAGUGCCAUGGUGCCUCAUAAGGUAAGUGGGGAAGAAGACUUCUCAAAGUGUUCCUCUAAACGCUAAAGCCACACCAGACUGUAACAGCAGCCCGCAGGGCUCCACUACCUUCAGAUACUUCUAGCUAUUCCUCUACAGUAGCUAGACUGGGCAAAGGUCAAAGGUCUUCUAAGCCAUUUCCCAGACCACAAUGAAGUGCUUUGAUGAGUAAGGAUUUCCUGAUUUCACAAGUACAGACUCAGGAAAGACUAGAUUCUCCCUUCUCAUGGAAAAUUCAGAGUUGUAGAUGAUGAUUUGGUCUCUCCCCUCUGCUUUCUUUCUCCUCCUCCUCCCUCCCCUCCCUCCCUCCCUCUUUCCUUCCCUCCCCCUCCUCAUUUUGAGUUAGGGUCUCUCUACAUAGCCCCAAAUAUCCUGGAACUUGCUAUGUAAAUCAGGCUAGCCCCUAAACUCCCAGAGAUCUGCCUACUUCUGCCUCCCAAGUGCUGAGAGCAUUUCUCCUGUUAUUCAC
rnacentral:lncRNA from 1 species